CGGGUCUCAUUGUGUUUAUUGAGGUUAUUCCUGGUUCCAGGUCAGGGGGUUAUUAUUGUCCUCAGUGACCGCUAAUGCAGCCAUUCAUUACUUAGUGAGCAGCAGGGAGGAUACUGGAUCUUUAAUACAAUGCUGUCACAAUUACAGACAAUUACACUAACAUGGAGAGAGAAGGGACAACAUGGAGAGAGAGAGAGAAGGAGAGGGGGUAACAUGGAGAGAGAGAGAGAAGG